CCGACUCUCAGGACAAGGGGUGCCCCCUAGCUCCGCCCCGUCCAGCGUGGGAGCGGCUCAGAGAUCAGCCUGUGGAGCAGGAAAGUCCACCGAUGGGGAGCUGGUCACGGCAGUGGGUGAAAGCAGGGGUGGUCAUCCGGCGAGGGGAGGGGAAGCAGAUGGUGUCCAUCGAGGUGGAAGGAACAGUGGAGAGGAGAAACCUCGGGGCAUUCCUGAGGGCCCAGGAACUGCAAUAAAUGAUCACAGGGAGACUUAGGGUUCAGAGAGGAGGUGUGAUUGGCCUGAGGUCACACAGCAAGUUAGAGACCCAGCUCCACGACUCACUGUCUUGGCUUUGGCCCUCAUCAUCCUGCCCACCCAGCAGGGCCUCCCAAUCCGCCACACGGCCAUGGAUGGGAAAGUGGCAGUGCAGGAGCACGGGCCUCCUGCGGUCUCCUGGGUCCCCGAGGAGGGAGAGAAGUUGGAUCAGGAAGACGAGGACCAGGUGAAGGAUCGGGGCCAAUGGAACAGCAAGAUGGAGUUUGUGCUGUCAGUGGCCGGGGAGAUCAUUGGGCUGGGCAAUGUCUGGAGGUUUCCCUAUCUCUGCUACAAAAACGGAGGUGGAGCCUUCUUCAUCCCCUACUUCAUCUUCUUCUUUGUCUGCGGCAUCCCCGUGUUCUUUCUGGAGGUAGCGCUGGGCCAGUACACCAGCCAAGGGAGUGUCACAGCCUGGAGGAAGAUCUGCCCCCUCUUCCAGGGCAUUGGUCUGGCGUCUGUGGUCAUUGAGUCAUAUUUGAAUAUCUACUACAUCAUCAUCCUUGCCUGGGCUCUCUUCUACCUGUUCAGCUCCUUCACCUCUGAGCUGCCCUGGACGACCUGCAGCAACGUUUGGAACACAGAGCACUGCGUGGACUUUCUGAACCACUCGGGAGCCGGCACAGUGACCCCAUCUGAGAAUUUUACCUCACCUGUCAUGGAAUUCUGGGAGAGACGAGUUCUGAGCAUCACCUCGGGUAUCCAUGACCUGGGCGCCCUGCGCUGGGAGCUGGCCCUGUGCCUCCUGCUCGCCUGGGUCAUCUGCUAUUUCUGCAUCUGGAAGGGCGUCAAGUCCACAGGCAAGGUGGUUUAUUUCACAGCCACGUUUCCCUACCUGAUGCUUGUCAUUCUGCUGGUCCGAGGUGUUACCCUUCCCGGGGCCUACCAGGGCAUCAUCUAUUACUUGAAGCCAGAUUUGUUCCGCCUCAAGGACCCUCAGGUGUGGAUGGAUGCGGGCACCCAGAUCUUCUUCUCCUUCGCCAUCUGCCAGGGGUGCCUGACAGCCCUGGGCAGCUACAACAAGUACCACAACAACUGCUACAAGGACUGCGUCGCUCUCUGCUUCCUGAACAGUGCCACCAGCUUUGUGGCUGGGUUUGUUGUCUUCUCCAUCCUGGGCUUCAUGUCGCAAGAGCAGGGGGUGCCCAUUUCUGAAGUGGCCGAGUCAGGUCCUGGGCUGGCCUUCAUCGCCUUCCCCAAGGCUGUGACUAUGAUGCCCUUAUCCCAGCUGUGGUCCUGCCUGUUCUUCAUCAUGCUCAUAUUCCUAGGGCUGGACAGCCAGUUUGUCUGUGUGGAGUGCCUGGUGACAGCCUCCGUAGACAUGUUCCCCAGGCAGCUCCGGAAGAGCGGGCGGCGGGAGCUCCUCAUCCUCACCAUCGCCGUCACGUGCUACCUGAUAGGGCUCUUCAUGGUCACCGAGGGCGGGAUGUACAUCUUCCAGCUGUUUGACUACUAUGCUUCCAGUGGCAUAUGCCUGCUGUUCCUCUCAGUGUUUGAAGUGGUCUGCAUCAGCUGGGUGUACGUUUCCCUGCACAGGGCGGGGGUGAGGGAAGAGCACAGAGCCAAGUGGGUCUCUCCCAAACACCGGGCAGCUGUUCUCACCCUCUGGCUCACACUCUCCCACACCACGUCUGCUCAGGGGCGGACCGUUUCUACGACAACAUUGAGGACAUGAUUGGCUACCGGCCAUGGCCCCUGGUGAAGAUCUCCUGGCUCUUCCUCACCCCUGGACUUUGCCUGGCCACCUUCUUCUUCUCCUUGAGCAAGUACACCCCCCUCAAGUACAACAACGUCUACGUGUACCCGCCCUGGGGAUACUCCAUUGGCUGGUUCCUGGCUCUGUCCUCCAUGGUCUGUGUCCCACUCUUCACCGUCAUCACCCUCCUGAAGACUCAGGGUUCUUUCAAGAAGCGCCUAUGUCAGCUCAUCACCCCUGACUCCAGUCUGCCACAGCCCAAGCAACACCUCUACUUGGAUGGCAGCGAUGGCCGGGACUUUGGGCCCUCCCCAGCAAAGGAAGGACUGAUAGCCGGGGAGAAGGAGACCCAUUUGUAGGGUGUAGCCAGAGGUCAGGCGGCUCCUAAGCCGGGAACCUAGGUCAGGGCCACCCUCCAUUCUCAGCGGACAGUCUCUGCCUCUGUCUCCUGCCACAGUCCUGCUGGGAACCUCUGGAGAGCCACAGGCACCCCCAGCUGGAGGCCAGACUCCUCUCCUGUGCUAGCUGGAGCAGCUCCUUCCCCUGUGCUGACAGCACUACCACUGGGACGUGCCAUGUUGGGAGGCCAUCCCUGUGGGACGGCACCAUCGUUUUUAUAAAGGGGGGUCUUUUUGGAGGCCACCAUCUGAUUGUAACGCCUCGAGUUCUGAGGAGUCCGCUGUGGGGGUGGCUCUUGUUGGAGCUUACUGCAUUUGUACACGGGGAGAGGAGCUCUAACUGGAAUGCGCACUGCCGUCCGAUGUGGAGAGCCUGAUGGGACAUACCCUGUUGGAAGUGACACUGAGCAACUGCGCUGGAUCGGAGGUUCCCUUAGGGUUCUUCCUUAGGCUUAACCACAGAGGCAAGCCUUCACACCCCGUCAGGCUGGAGCCUCCUCCGAGUCUCUCAUGGCAUCUCCAGCCCCCGCCCUAGUUCCACACUGUUCUUGCGGUGUUUCAUCAGCUCCUGGAGCAUUGGAAUGGAGGGGGCUUAGGAGAGGAUUCCUAGGCUUCACAAACACAUGGCACGCCUCCCGUACUGUGCAUUCCACUGCCCAAGGCCGACAUUGCUAACUGAUCACAGACUCUUUCCCACCUCACAAUCCUUCCGAAUGCGCUCCAGGCAGCACCGUUUGGCAUCCUGCUUCUAAUGCAAACCGCUGACUUCAUGGAUGAGGAACCUGGAGACCAAAGAGACAGACUUUUUCAAGUUCACAUGGCUUCUUGGGGGCCAGAGAUAUGACUAAAACCUUAUCUCCUUUGCUCAGGCCAGUGUCUACCCAUUAAUCCCCCUGCCUUAGUUAACAAGUGUGUAUGGAUUGCCUGCCA